rnacentral:rRNA from 1 species
GAGUUUGAUCCUGGCUCAGAACGAACGCUGGCGGCGUGCCUAACACGUGCAAGUCGAACGUGAUCCAGAGCUUGCUCUGGUGAAAGUGGCGCACGGGUGAGUAACGCGUGGAUAACCUACCCUGGUAUCCGGGAUAACUUUCCGAAAGGGGUGCUAAUACCGGAUAAGCCCACGGGCUCUUUGGAGCUUGCGGGAAAAGGUGGCCUCUAUUUAUAAGCUACUGUAUCAGGAUGGGUCCGCGUACCAUUAGCUAGUUGGCGGUGUAACGGACCACCAAGGCGACGAUGGUUAGCUGGUCUGAGAGGAUGAUCAGCCACACUGGAACUGAGACACGGUCCAGACUCCUACGGGAGGCAGCAGUGGGGAAUUUUGCGCAAUGGGGGAAACCCUGACGCAGCAACGCCGCGUGAGUGAUGAAGGCCUUUGGGUCGUAAAGCUCUGUCAGAGGGGAAGAAAUGAUAUAGUGCUAAUACCACUUUAUCUUGACGGUACCCUCAAAGGAAGCACCGGCUAACUCCGUGCCAGCAGCCGCGGUAAUAC